AUUGCCGUAGUCAUCGUUUGCAAUCUGCCGGACGAUUACUGUUGAUCGGAAAGUGUAUAAAACGUACGGAAACGGCGGCGGAGCAUUUCCCACCGUUUCCGUUUUCUUUUUCAAUGCAUCCUCAUCACCAUCGUCAUCGUUCGUCAUCGUCCGGACGAUAACUGCUCACCGGAGGUCUAUAAAACGUACGAAAACGACGGCGGAGCAUUUCCCUCCGUUUCCGUUUUCUUUCUUCCAUGCAUCCCCAUUCUCGAUCCAGCGGAGGAUUAAUGUUGAUCGGGAAGGCAUAUAAAACGUACGAAAACGGCAGCGGAGUAUUUCCCUCCGUUUUCGUAUUCUUCAAUUUGUUCCACACAUUCCCAUUUCGCCAUCAUCAUCAACAAUUCAACCGUUUUCCUCUUUCUCUUCCACUUCACUUUCCUCAAUUUUCCUCUCCCGCAAUAUCGUUUUAGCAACAAUCCAAAGGUUGGCAUUUCAUAGCACACGUGGGAGAUUUUUUUGGAUGAAAUGAUGAGGAAGUCGUUGGGGACUACUGUUGUUGUUCUGCUGUUCAAAAUCUACUCAAGAAGGCUACUUUUUGUUGGUGCUAUUCUAACAGUUGUUAGUGCCCUAUUUCAAAUUUAUACGCUUUCUUACCCAUUGACAGGGUGGUGGUUCCACCCUCUAGUGGAAGUUUCACCCACUAAGAACUUGAACCUUGAGAGGCAUUUGGAGGAAAAUAUAAAUAUUCAUCUGGGAAAGAUUGACCAUUUGGAGGUUAUUCAACAUUUCCAGUCAGUUGUUCCACAGAAUUAUUCUGCUGAUCAGGUUCCAUUAAAGAAAUCUUCGACAAUAGCAAAAAAGACCGCUCGUGUAAGAAAGCGAACAAGAGAGCCUCCUUCUGCACCUUUACUUCCUGGUAGAAAUGUGUCUAAUCACCUGCUGAGAUAUAUUGAGUCAUUGUCACCUGAUGAGGGACUUGCAUAUGCUAAAAAGGAGAUUGAGAAAGCCCCAUUCGUUGUUGAUGAUCCAGACUUGUAUGUCCCUCUAUUCAGGAAUGUUUCUAUAUUUAAGAGGAGCUAUGAGUUAAUGGAGCUUAUACUUAGAGUUUACAUUUACCAAGAAGGAAAGAGGCCUAUUUUCCAUGUACCUUAUCUUCGAGGAAUUUAUUCAUCUGAGGGAUGGUUCAUGAAACAUAUGGAGGAAAACAGGCAAUUUGUUACAAAGGACCCGAAAAAGGCUCACCUAUUCUAUAUUCCAUACAGUGCAAAGCAGUUGCAGAGAGCACUUUAUGUUCGUAACUCACAUAACCUUAGGCCUUUGUCAUUAUUUCUACGGGAUCAUGUGAACAUGCUUGCUGCAAAGUAUCCUUUCUGGAACCACACUCGUGGAUCAGAUCACUUUCUGGUAGCUUGCCAUGAUUGGGGGCCUUAUACUUUGACGGAUCAUGAGGAGCUCCUUAAAAAUACAAUAAAAGCUCUCUGUAACGCAGAUCUUUCUGAAGGAAUAUUUGUUGCUGGGAAGGAUGUUUCCUUGCCAGAAACCACCAUAAGGAAUCCCAAAAGGCCUCUCAGGAAUGUUGGUGGAAAAAGAGUGUCACAACGCCCGAUCCUUGCCUUUUUUGCUGGACGCACGCAUGGCAGGGUUCGUCCCAGACUUAUAAAGUACUGGAGUGAUAAAGAUGAAGACAUGAGGAUAUAUGCAGCUUUACCUAACAGAGUGUCAAAGAUAAUGAAUUAUGCUGAACAUAUGAAAUCAAGUAAAUAUUGCAUAUGUCCUAUGGGUUUUGAAGUGAAUAGCCCGAGGGUUGUUGAGGCAAUAUAUUACGAGUGUGUCCCGGUGAUAAUUGCUGAUAAUUUUUCCCUUCCAUUCAAUGAAGUACUUAACUGGAGUGCAUUUUCAGUGCGUGUUGCCGAGAAAGAUAUUCCAAAACUGAAAGAGAUUCUAUUAGCUAUUCCAGUGAGACAAUAUCUUACCAUGCAGACUAAUAUCAAAAAGUUGCAGAAGCAUUUCCUCUGGAACUCAAGACCAACUAGAUUUGAUUUAUUCCAUAUGAUUCUGCAUUCACUCUGGUUUAGCAGGCUGAACCAGUUUCAGAUACCAGAGCAAUCUUAAUAUUGGUUAGCUCUUCUGCCUGAUAUAAGUGGUUAUGAAUGUGAGCCAGAUAUAUUUUGGCAUGGCUGAUAUCUAUACAGUUGAGGAAGAGCUUCUGUUUUGGGGAAAGGGUAAUUAAUUUACUUAGGUCGGGUUAAAACCUGUCCAAGAGGGCAAGAGUCUGCAUUGAGUUCGGUGUCGGAAAGAAAAUAUUGCCAUAUUGAUGUGCACCGUGGACAUUGUUUGAUUGGUGCCUGUAGUUGCCUUAUGUUGGAUUGUUGGUUGAUUCUCUUCACAUUUUUGCCACCUUCAAUUCAAAUGAUCUCCGGAGGCAGUCGCAUUCUGCAUGCUUACCAAAAUUAUUUUACAGUAUCGGUGUUUUUAUCAUUAUCAUUUUGUGUGAUCUACAUGCAAAGAGCGUG